AAAACAUGGCGCUUGCGAGCUGUAUGUGCAAAAUCCGCAAGGAAUUGCAGUAAAUUCCUUUUUGUUUGAAGAAAAUUUACAACUUGGUAAUAGACCUUUUUAUGACCUAUUUGCGGUCGUCAUUGGCUGCGGCUGGUCAUGUGCAGGCGCCGCUCGCCUUCACGGCCUUUUUCCUGAUUUCCCAGGCGAAUUUCCCCCCCGCAUUCUGCUUUCCCAGAGCCUCACCCCCUCUUUUUCUAACCUUUGUCUCUGCAGAGGUGGGCUCCAGUCGCCGGCUGCGGGAUUGCGGAGUCCGCCGCGGCCUCGGCUCUCGCCCGGCGCCCGGCCUGGCCCCACCGCCGCUCACUCGGUCCGCAUCGCCGCCACCUCCGGAGCUGGUGGGGAGCCCGGCGAGGGAGGGCCUGGAAGGGGCCCUGGGCGCCGAGUUCCCCGCUGGCGCCGACACCGCCUGCCAGGAGCAGCCGGCCUGCUCGAGGUGACUGCAGCCGCGCGGUUCUGGCGCGGCUUCUUCACCAACAUGAGCGGGUCUCUGCGUCCGAGAGUGAGCGCAGCCGGGCAGCGCCUAGUGGAUUACAGCAGACGCCCGGACCGACCGCCGCCUGUAGCUCGGCAGCCUUCGGAUCAGGGAGCCGAUAGCAUGUCCGGGCCUUGGUGACGACGGGUCAGGCCAUGAACUGGGCUUGAGAUUUCUGGCGAGGACCAGGAGAAAGAGCGAAGCUUGAAAUUAUAAAUGUGGCCAAGCACGAGAGCUGAAAACAAAGCGUAUUUUCCCGUCAGAUGUUUCUACAAAUAAAUUUCGCCAGAGUUCUGUUUUCUGAAUCAGAGAGGCAAGGGAAAUCGAACAAAGACAGUAUUUCACCCUGGGCUGGCAGGCA
rnacentral:lncRNA from 1 species